CAUCUGAAAUCAAGUUUAUAUCUACAAACAGAGCUAUUCAUCUUGAACCUAUUAAGGAUAGCUGGUACUCCAAUGUACUUUAUCUUGGGAAUGAGGAUGAAGUUCCAAUUCUAACUAUGACGUGCCCCGCAUCAGAUAUUGAGAGGUAUAAAUCUGGUGAGCUGCGUUUAGCACCUUCAUCU